CUCCUACGGGAGGCAGCAGUGGGGAAUAUUGGACAAUGGGCGAAAGCCUGAUCCAGCCAUGCCGCGUGUGUGAAGAAGGUCUUCGGAUUGUAAAGCACUUUAAGUUGGGAGGAAGGGCAGUAAGUUAAUACCUUGCUGUUUGACGUACCAACAGAAUAAGCACCGG
rnacentral:rRNA from 1 species